rnacentral:miRNA from 2 species
UAGCCAAGGAUGACUUGCCUU